AAACCCUAAACUGAAUUUUUUUUCUUUCAGACAGCAUUAGGGUUUUAAACCCUAAACUGAGCUUUUCCAUGUAGUCAGCAUUAGGGUUUUAAACCCUAAACUGAACUUUUCCAAUUCAGCCAGCAUUAGGGUUUUAAACCCUAAACUGAGCUUUUCCAUGCAGUCAGCAUUAGGGUUUUAAACCCUGAACUGAAUUUUCUCUUUAGUCAGCAUUAGGGUUUUAAACCCUAAACUGAACUUUUUCCAUUCAGCCAGCAUUAGGGUUUUAAACCCUAAACUGAGCUUUUCCAUGCAGUCAACAUUAGGGUUUUAAACCCUAAACUGAAUUUUUCCUUUAGUCAGCAUUAGGGUUUUAAACCCUAAUCUGAACUUUUUCCAUUCAGCCAGCAUUAGGGUUUUAAACCCUAAACUGAGCUUUUCCAGCCAGUCAGCAUUAGGGUUUUAAACCCUAAACUGAACUUUUUCCAUUCAGCCAGCAUUAGGGUUUUAAACCCUAAACUGACAUUUUCCUUUAGUCAGCAUUAGGGUUUUAAACCCUGAACUGAACUUUUUCCAUUCAGUCAGCAUUAGGGUUUUAAACCCUAAAUUGAACUUUUUCCAUUCAGCCAACAUUAGGGUUUUAAACCCUAAACUGAGCUUUUCCAUGCAGUCAGCAUUAGAGUUUUAAACCCUUAACUGAAUUUUCCCUUU
rnacentral:lncRNA from 1 species